GGCUUUUCUACCCUUGGAGAGGCACUCAAAGAAAGCUCACAGCAGGUGAGCAGAAGGCAGGAGAUACGAAAGGAAGCCAGGCGGUGGGGUAAUCAGGAGGUCAUGUUGUGGAGCCAGAGGUCAGAGCACUUUGAGAUCUGCACAGGAAGCACAAAGCUCUGGUUACCACUGGAAGCCGUCUUGCCCCCAUAAACCAGCCUUAGGAUGCCACUGAUGCUGUAUGGCAGAAUGGAGUAACAGAGAGAAUUUGCAGAAUAAAGAAGGGACAAUGCAGUCACCAGGUCAGCAUUAAGGGAAGGCUUGGCUGCAUCAUCUGCCACUCUGCUGCUGCUGACUCUGCCAGUGGGGACAGCACAUGCUUCCUUCUACGCUUGCCUGAGGUUCGUAACUUCAGAGCCCCACAGCAUUUCUGGAAGGAGUAAAAUGAGCUACAUGGUCCGGGAAGCUACUCCUAAGUAGAGUUCACAAUCAAAGGAAUAGAAGCUGGGGAAAACAAUAAAGCAGUCUUCUUCUUCUCAAGUCA
rnacentral:lncRNA from 1 species